UUACCGCGUCUACUCUUUUCCACUCCAUUCGCUCGUCUGUCUAUACUGGCGCCUGGCGGCUCUCUUUUUCUCCAUUUCUCUCUCCAAAUCUCGAUAUUCCGUUCUUCAUUCAGGGGUCUAGACCUAGUACAGAGAGCAGAUCGGGAUGGACUUCCUAACUAAUGGAAGGGAUGAGGCUCUCAAGAAAGUAUUCGAAGGGCUAUCAGACCUAAUCGCCUCAGCUGAGACAAUCCAGCACGAGGAGGAUAUCCUCCAUCGAUAUGCCGGGUUCAUGAUUCAUGUCAGAGAACUUAUCCGCAAGCUUCAAUCACAGCCCGCAACUACCAAUUCAGUCGGCUUGCUACUGAGAAUGGAAACCGAGGUCAACAAAGCUCGGGAAGUCAUCGAUGGGUACAAAUCCAGAAACCGUCUAUCCCGGCCCUUCAGAUACCGCUCCGUUGUCUCUAAGUUGAAUCAAUCUUCCAAGGAGAUCUACGCCGUUCUACAGCUCCUCCCACUCACUGAAAUCAACACAGCCCUAAACAUCAAAGAAGCUGCCGACGCCAUUAUUCACGGUAUUGAAUCCAUACAGCUUAAGCUUUCGACUAACACCAAUGCAAUCCUCUCUAGUCUCGACCAGUACGUCUCUGAGAACAGCGGGAAUCAACAUCAAACUUCGCCUAGUUUAGGGUUUAGGGUUGCUAGGCCAAAAGGUAUCGCAAGCAGCAGCGUCUGCCCUUUGCCUUUUCAGAUCCAAGUCCAAGAAGAAGGUGAUAGACCGCAUACAGAUUCGUACCAGCAGUUACCACCAAGCUCCUUCUUCUUAUGCCCCUUAACUGGGGAGGUUCUGGAGGAUCCAGUAUCUGUGUCCUGCGACCAUAGCUUUGAGAAGAAAGCAAUAGAGGACUAUUUCCACGCGGGGCAAAAUUUAUGCCCUCUUUGUAGCAAGGAGCUUUCUUCGUCUGGGAAUUUGGAACUCACAUCGAACUCCACGCUUCGCAACUCUAUAUUAGAGUGGAAGAGACGGGAAGAACGAACCAAUGCGGAAAGGAAUGCGAAGAAGAAGUUUAUAGACACGGCUGCAAAAAUUACCCUAGAUAACAUGGAGGACACCAACCGAGCAAUUGGUGACCUGCAUGAUCUGAUGAUUAAGAUUCCAAGUUGCGUCAGUGCAGCCACGGAUAGCUCCUGCAAACUUGUUCCAAAGCUUGCAGAGCUCUUGAUGAAUGACAGUUCAGAAAAUACUUCCACGGUGCUGCAAUGCCUGCUUCUGAUUGCUCGCUUUUCAGAUGAGAACAAGGAAAAAAUAGGCAAAAGGGGAGUGAUCAAAUGCCUUUUGAAACAUAGUAUGACGGAGCCAAAUGCUGUUGCUGUGUUGCUGGAGCUCUCCAGAAACAAGGUUGUUGCUGGAAAGAUUGAAGGAAUUCCAUACUCCAGUCACAUCUUGAUCUCGUUUUUAGACAAGCCAAGCUCUCCUGUAGCAGAAAUGGCACGUAAGGUGCUGGAGAACCUCACCAUUGAUAUCAAAUCUACUGUUAUGAUGGCCAAGUUUGGGUUCUUCACUCCGUUCUUGGUGCAAUUCAAUUCUCAAGACAUUUCCGAUGAGAUCAGAGCUUAUAUGGCAGAAGAACUAGCACAGAUUCAACUAUCAGAAACUUAUGCGAGGAACUUAGAAAAUGAGCAAUUAAUUGUUCAUUUAACUGAGAUGCUCAGCUGCCACUAUCCGUCUGGCAAAAUGGCAUCCCUCAAAUGCAUCAAACAGUUCAUAGCUUUCAAUGAACUAAGGACUUGCUUCCUCAAAAAUGAAUGUGCCGUUCCUGCUCUACUCUGUCUCAUAAAUAGCAAAACUGUUGAGGAGGAAUUGAAACAGAAAGCACUAGAGAUUCUGAUUUUACUCAUUCAGACGUCUCAACCCAGCCAUCCUGGCUUGCAGUCUCUCUUCUCCUCAAAUGGCAUACAAGACAUAAUUAACCAGGUCACAACCUCGGCUCCGGCGGACCAAAUCUCACUGCUUCGCCUUCUCCUCGUUAUGGCUCAGAACUCUGCUGCAACAGGAGAGUGGAUAGUUUCUGAUCAUCAUGCAAUGAGCUUUUUCUUCUCUGCCAUUAUUCUGGAUCAAAACAACCAGGUCAAAGUUAAUGCACUGAAGCUAAUAUCCUACUUUGCAGGAAACCAUCAUAUAGUUUUCCCCUCUUCACCUUCCAAAGAAUCAAUAGUUAGUUCCCUUAUAGCUUUGCUCACUGAGAAACGGAUUGAUGAAGAGCUAUAUGCUGCUGCGGCCAGCAUCCUCAUUCAUCUUCCUGCUAAUGACAAAUGCAUAAAUAAGUUGCUGCUGAACUCAGCUGUGCUGAAAUCCAUCCAUGCUCUAAUAACUCAUUCAAAUAUAUCCUAUUUGUUGUUAGAGAAUGCUUUCGGAGUAUUGUUACAUUGCGUAAAACAAUCCCAAUCCAAUCCAAAGUUUCAGAAAAAAGCCUGUAAUCUUCUACGAACUGAUCUAAUUGAAACUCUCUCGACUGGCAGCACUCUUGCCAAGCAGCGAGUCGCCAUGAUUCUUUCUCAUCUAUCUCGGUGCACUACCGAUUCAUCAUUAGAACCCAGCUCAUCUCAAUCUUCGCACUUUGGCCGUCGCCGUCUUGUUAACAUAAGAAUGUCGGUGAAGGAAGUAGAUGGUUGUCCUGUUCAUAAAUCCAGCUGCUCACAACAGCGUUCCAUCUGCCUUGUAAUGGAUAAGGCAGUGAAGCCAUUGAUAGAGAUGAUGAAAACUAUGGAGUUUGGUUUGACUGAAGCCGCUUUGGCGGCACUUGACACAUUGUUUGAUCCUGGUUGCAGUUUUAUUGGAGCUGCGACCACCAUUGUAGAGAGCCAUGGUGCAACACCAAUACUUGAGGUGCUUGAAAGGGGAGAAUUGAAUGCUAAGGAGCAGACACUUGAACUAUUCAGUAAGAUUUGUGGGCAUCCAGGUAUCACAGAAAUGGAGUUAGAUAGGUUUAAAGGAUUGCUUCUCAACAUAGUCAGAAAGGACGAUCGUCUCAAGAAUAAAGCUGAAAAAAUUUUGAAGGAUUUGGUUUGAAGAUUGGAUUGUUCAAAAUGUCAUAAUUGCUUUGCUUCUGUAUGAUUAAAGUUGAGCCAUGCAUGAUUAGAAGUUGUGAUGUGGAGGCACCUAUUACUUUAAAUUUCACCUGGUGGCCCUCUUUCUGAGCAUCGAGCUUAUUCAUUUUUAUUUCUGGUCAGAAUUUGUUGCUUCAGUAACUAAAUUUUCGUUCAGCUCCUUCGUUUUCUACUGCUUGGGGUUCAUUGUAUUUAGAUUGAGAUCAUUUUGCUGGCCUUCUGGACAUUGAUAAAUACAUCCCUACCUCCCAGUAUAUGCUCCCCUUGGAUGGUCGCAAUGGCAACCUCGAGAGUUCAACUCUAUUGAUUGGAAUAUAAUUUUGGCUGUAUUUUUGUAAAUUUUGAGUCUCAAUGUCUCUAAUAUUUUGGAUUUCUGAAUUGUCUCUUUGUUCUUUAGUCUUCUUUUUGAGCUUUGCUAUCUUUUUGUUGCAGCUCAUUGAUGCUCUUUUUUAUUUUUGG